UUUACUUUUAGUUUUAGAUUUUACUUUAGUAUUUUUACCCUUGUGUUUACUUUCAUUUUUGGGUGUUUUUUUUUCGCCAGGUGAAUUUCCACCUCUAGAUGAACUUCCAGCGCUUGAUGAACUUUCACUCAUUGGUGGAUUUUUACCCGCAUGUUUACUUUCAUUUUUCGAUCCGGUCCUUGAUGAACUAGAUCUGGUCGGUGGAGCUCCUCGUGGAGGUGGAUUAUGCUCGGGCUUUACUCCCAUCCUAUGCCUACAUCACACAAAUAAGUAUACAUUUACACGUAUACAUAAGAUAUUAAUCAAGAAAACAACUUUGUACAUGUAUUCUUAUCAAUUACGUGACAAAUAUUUCCAAAGGCAGAAAGAAAGUUCUGACGAAAGACACGUAAUAAGUUAAAAUUUCUUAAGAA